ensembl:misc_RNA 7SK 7SK RNA
GGAUGUGAGGGCAAUCUGGCUGCAACAUUUAUCAUCCCGUUGACUGCCAGGAUUGAUUCAGCUGAUCUGGCUGGCUACACGAGUGUCCCCUUCCUCCCUCACCACUCCAUGUGAUGUGCGUCCCUCGUGAAGCUGCGCACUGGGUCAAAGAGGAUGACCAUCCCUGAGAGUAGGACCCAUCUUCAUUAAAGGGUAUACCAGUAUUGGCGCUCCUCUGAUAGAAUCUCCAAAGAGCCAACUUCUCCUGCUAAAUGCCAUGCUGGUUGCAUUCCAGUGUGCUCUUGGUCUUAGGACAGAUCAACUCAGUGUCAUGAGUCAUCUCCCUUUUGGCAGAAAUCCCUAAACG